CCUACGGGCGGCAGCAGUGGGGAAUAUUGGGCAAUGGAGGCAACUCUGACCCAGCAACGCCGCGUGAAUGAUGAAGGUCUUCGGAUUGUAAAGUUCUGUGUGUGGGGAUGAACACAACGACGGUACCCCAAUAGCCAGCCACGGCUAACUACAUGCCAGCAGCCGCGGCAAUACGUGGGUGGGCAGCGAUAGCCGGAAUGCCUGGGGGGAAAGGGUGCGUAGGGGGUUAAGUAAGCUGACGGGGAAAUUCCGGGGCUCAACCCCGGCGCUACCGCCAAAACUACUGGACUAGAGUGCAGGAGGGGUAAGUGGAAUUCCUAGUGUAGCGGUGGAAUGCGUAGAUAUUAGGAGGAACAUCAGGGGCGAAGGCGACUUACUGGACUGUAACUGACACUGAGGCACGAAAGCGUGGGGAGCAAACAGGAUUAGAUACCCUUGUAGUC
rnacentral:rRNA from 1 species